CCUACGGGAGGCAGCAGUGAGGAAUAUUGGUCAAUGGCCGAGAUGCUGAACCAGCCAAGCCGCGUGAGGGAAGACUGUCCUAUGGGUUGUAAACCUCUUUUGUCGGGGAGCAAAACCCGGGACGAGUCCCGGACUGCGAGUAUCCGAAGAAAAAGCAUCGGCUAACUCCGUGCCAGCAGCCGCGGUAAUACGGAGGAUGCGAGCGUUAUCCGGAUUUAUUGGGUUUAAAGGGUGCGUAGGCGGUCUAUUAAGUCAGCGGUAAAAUUGCGGGGCUCAACCCCGUCGAGCCGUUGAAACUGGCAGACUUGAGUGGGCGAGAAGUACGCGGAAUGCGCGGUGUAGCGGUGAAAUGCAUAGAUAUCGCGCAGAACUCCGAUUGCGAAGGCAGCGUACCGGCGCCAGACUGACGCUGAGGCACGAAAGCGUGGGGAUCGAACAGGAUUAGAUACCCGUGUAGUC
rnacentral:rRNA from 1 species